ACCCGCACAAGCAGCGGAGCGUGUGGUUUAAUUCGUUGCUACACGAAGAACCUUACCUGGGUUUGACAUAUAGGUUGUAGGGAACUGAAAAGGGACGACCCUUCGGGGAGCCUAUACAGGUGUUGCAUGGCUGUCGUCAGCUCGUGUCGUGAGAUGUUCGGUUAAGUCCGCUAACGAGCGCAACCCUCGCUGUGUGUUACAAGUGUCACACGGUACUGCCGGUCUUAAGCCGGAGGAAGGUGGGGAUGACGUCAAGUCAGCAUGGCCUUUAUGUCCUGGGCUACAUACACGCUACAAUGGCCAACACAAUAGGUUGCUAAGCCGCGAGGUGGAGCCAAUCCUCAAAGUUGGUCUCAGUUCAGAUUGCAGGCUGCAACCCGCCUGCAUGAAGAUGGAGUUGCUAGUAACCGCAGGUCAGCUAUACUGCGGUGAAUACGUUCCCGGGGCUU
rnacentral:rRNA from 1 species